rnacentral:rRNA from 1 species
GCGAUACAGGGUGACAGCCCCGUACACAAAAAUGCACAUACUGUGAGCUCGAUGAGUAGGGCGGGACACGUGGUAUCCUGUCUGAAUAUGGGGGGACCAUCCUCCAAGGCUAAAUACUCCUGACUGACCGAUAGUGAACCAGUACCGUGAGGGAAAGGCGAAAAGAACCCCGGCGAGGGGAGUGAAAAAGAACCUGAAACCGUGUACGUACAAGCAGUGGGAGCACGCUUAGGCGUGUGACUGCGUACCUUUUGUAUAAUGGGUCAGCGACUUAUAUUCUGUAGCAAGGUUAACCGAAUAGGGGAGCCGAAGGGAAACCGAGUCUUAACUGGGCGUUAAGUUGCAGGGUAUAGACCCGAAACCCGGUGAUCUAGCCAUGGGCAGGUUGAAGGUUGGGUAACACUAACUGGAGGACCGAACCGACUAAUGUUGAAAAAUUAGCGGAUGACUUGUGGCUGGGGGUGAAAGGCCAAUCAAACCGGGAGAUAGCUGGUUCUCCCCGAAAGCUAUUUAGGUAGCGCCUCGUGAAUUCAUCUCCGGGGGUAGAGCACUGUUUCGGCAAGGGGGUCAUCCCGACUUACCAACCCGAUGCAAACUGCGAAUACCGGAGAAUGUUAUCACGGGAGACACACGGCGGGUGCUAACGUCCGUCGUGAAGAGGGAAACAACCCAGACCGCCAGCUAAGGUCCCAAAGUCAUGGUUAAGUGGGAAACGAUGUGGGAAGGCCCAGACAGCCAGGAUGUUGGCUUAGAAGCAGCCAUCAUUUAAAGAAAGCGUAAUAGCUCACUGGUCGAGUCGGCCUGCGCGGAAGAUGUAACGGGGCUAAACCAUGCACCGAAGCUGCGGCAGCGACGCUUAUGCGUUGUUGGGUAGGGGAGCGUUCUGUAAGCCUGCGAAGGUGUGCUGUGAGGCAUGCUGGAGGUAUCAGAAGUGCGAAUGCUGACAUAAGUAACGAUAAAGCGGGUGAAAAGCCCGCUCGCCGGAAGACCAAGGGUUCCUGUCCAACGUUAAUCGGGGCAGGGUGAGUCGACCCCUAAGGCGAGGCCGAAAGGCGUAGUCGAUGGGAAACAGGUUAAUAUUCCUGUACUUGGUGUUACUGCGAAGGGGGGACGGAGAAGGCUAUGUUGGCCGGGCGACGGUUGUCCCGGUUUAAGCGUGUAGGCUGGUUUUCCAGGCAAAUCCGGAAAAUCAAGGCUGAGGCGUGAUGACGAGGCACUACGGUGCUGAAGCAACAAAUGCCCUGCUUCCAGGAAAAGCCUCUAAGCAUCAGGUAACAUCAAAUCGUACCCCAAACCGACACAGGUGGUCAGGUAGAGAAUACCAAGGCGCUUGAGAGAACUCGGGUGAAGGAACUAGGCAAAAUGGUGCCGUAACUUCGGGAGAAGGCACGCUGAUAUGUAGGUGAAGUCCCUCGCGGAUGGAGCUGAAAUCAGUCGAAGAUACCAGCUGGCUGCAACUGUUUAUUAAAAACACAGCACUGUGCAAACACGAAAGUGGACGUAUACGGUGUGACGCCUGCCCGGUGCCGGAAGGUUAAUUGAUGGGGUUAGCGCAAGCGAAGCUCUUGAUCGAAGCCCCGGUAAACGGCGGCCGUAACUAUAACGGUCCUAAGGUAGCGAAAUUCCUUGUCGGGUAAGUUCCGACCUGCACGAAUGGCGUAAUGAUGGCCAGGCUGUCUCCACCCGAGACUCAGUGAAAUUGAACUCGCUGUGAAGAUGCAGUGUACCCGCGGCAAGACGGAAAGACCCCGUGAACCUUUACUAUAGCUUGACACUGAACAUUGAGCCUUGAUGUGUAGGAUAGGUGGGAGGCUUUGAAGUGUGGACGCCAGUCUGCAUGGAGCCGACCUUGAAAUACCACCCUUUAAUGUUUGAUGUUCUAAC